GGCCGGCUAAUUGCUACCGACCUCCUCGUGGUGCCGGCUGGAGUAUGCAUCUAGCACAAGCAUAGUUAUGCUUGUUCUUUAUGCAUAUACAGACAGGUAGU
rnacentral:ribozyme from 1 species